AGCUUUAUAGUCAAAAAUGACAUCAGACUGCAAUUCUGAAGGAGUAAUAUUUACUAAAGCUU
rnacentral:tRNA from 1 species